AAACACAACAACAAUGAAAAAACAACAAAAACCAGCACAAAAUCAUCGACCAGCUUCCCUGGUGCUUGGACCCUAUGAUGCUCAUUCACAUGCACAUUCUUGGCUUUUAUCUCAGUGAGGGGAAAUUAAUGUCUGUUGUUCCAGGUUUUUUUUUUAAAUAGU